rnacentral:rRNA from 1 species
CACGUAGGGUGCGAGCGUUGUCCUGAAUUAUUGGGCGUAAAGAGCUCGUAGGCGGUGUGUCGCGUCGGCCGUGAAAACCUGCAGCUUAACUGUGGGCUUGCGGUCGAUACGGGCAUCACUGGAGUUCGGCAGGGGAGACUGGAAUUCCUGGUGUAGCGGUGAAAUGCGCAGAUAUCAGGAGGAACACCGAUGGCGAAGGCAGGUCUCUGGGCCACUACUGACGCUGAGAAGCGAAAGCAUGGGGAGCGAACAGG